ensembl:lncRNA
AGGACUUCAGAAACAGAGAAAGAGGGAGGGGGGGUGUGUGCGUGUGUGUGUGUGUGUGUGUGCGUGAGGGAGACAGAAGAGAAAGAGAUAGAGAUAUAGAGAGAGAAUGAAAGAGAGAGCAGAGAAGACAGCAGCACGAAAAGGGACAGCGUAGUCGUUGCUCCGCACUAACUAAAUAAAAUAAUAGAUAUUUUAUUCUCAGGUACUGAUCAUAUUGAUCAAAGCUUUUGUGAAUUUUUAAGUGAUAUGCGCUAUAAAGUGUGUUCUCAUCUAGCUUUGGAGUCUCAUGUAACUAUGCAAGAUCUUUAACCAUAUACACUGAGGCGAAAAAGGCGCAACUCACAGUAUGCAAAGCGUAAGUGACCGAUUUAAAAAUAAAAGUUAUUUUGGAUACUCGACUUGAAACGGACUGGUGACUUUGAAUUGAAGUCUCCCGCGUGAUGAAAUGGUGAAAACCUGCAACUUCAGCUUGAGAGUGAGUCAACAAGCAUCUUCUGUUCAGCACAGCAAGGUUCCAGAUUUGAGAUCUUCACUUGGAUUAAAUUCUGUCAUCUGGACUAACGCCUUCACAAAGACAAUAAUCAAAACGAGAACUUGUACAGCUUGUGGUGUUCUGGGAAACUGCAAUAUCACCUUUCUAUAAACCAUUUGCAGCCAUCAGUGGAUCUACACGGAAUGGAGGAAUAUUCUGUCCCAUUAGUCUGAAACAGCAACGCACUUGCAGAACAUCAGGAGAAUAAAUUAAAAAGUCUUCCAGCA